rnacentral:rRNA from 1 species
ACUCAAAGGAAUAGACGGGGACCCGCACAAGCAGCGGAGCAUGUGGUUUAAUUCGAAGCAACGCGAAGAACCUUACCAGGGCUUGACAUCCCUCUGACAGGCGUUUAACAGCGCCCUCCUUCGGGCAGAGGAGACAGGUGGUGCAUGGUUGUCGUCAGCUCGUGUCGUGAGAUGUUGGGUUAAGUCCCGCAACGAGCGCAACCCUUGUCAUUAGUUGCCAUCAUUAAGUUGGGCACUCUAGUGAGACUGCCGGGGAUAACUCGGAGGAAGGUGGGGAUGACGUCAAAUCAUCAUGCCCCUUAUGUUCUGGGCUACACACGUGCUACAAUGGCCGGUACAACAAGAUGCAAUACCGUGAGGAGGAGCAAAUCUCAAAAACCGGCCCCAGUUCGGAUUGUAGGCUGCAACUCGCCUACAUGAAGUCGGAGUUGCUAGUAAUCGCAGAUCAGAAUGCUGCGGUGAAUGCGUUCCCGGGUCUUGUACACACCGCCCGU